rnacentral:rRNA from 1 species
UACGAAGGGGGCUAGCGUUGUUCGGAGUUACUGGGCGUAAAGGGCGCGUAGGCGGGCGCACCAAGUCAGGCGUGAAAGCCCUGGGCUCAACCCGGGAAUUGCGCUUGAGACUGGUGUGCUUGAGUACGGGAGAGGAUAGUGGAAUUCCCAGUGUAGAGGUGAAAUUCGUAGAUAUUGGGAAGAACACCGGUGGCGAAGGCGGCUAAUCUGGACCGUAACUGACGCUGAGGCGCGAAAAGCGUGGGGGAGCAAACAGGGGAUUAAAAAAACCCGAGUAG